UACGAAGGGAGCUAGCGUUGUUCGGAAUUACUGGGCGUAAAGCGCGCGUAGGUGGCUUGCCAAGUCAGGGGUGAAAUCCCAGAGCUUAACUCUGGAAUUGCCUUUGAAACUGGUAGGCUUGAGUAUCGGAGGGGAUGGUGGAAUUUCUAAUGUAGCGGUGAAAUGCGUAGAUAUUAGAAGGAACACCGGUGGCGAAGGCGACCAUCUGGACGAUUACUGACACUGAGGUGCGAAAGCGUGGGGAUCAAACAGG
rnacentral:misc_RNA from 1 species